GAUGAACGCUGGCGGCGUGCCUAAUACAUGCAAGUCGAGCGAACAGACGAGGAGCUUGCUCCUCUGACGUUAGCGGCGGACGGGUGAGUAACACGUGGAUAACCUACCUAUAAGACUGGGAUAACUUCGGGAAACCGGAGCUAAUACCGGAUAAUAUAUUGAACCGCAUGGUUCAAUAGUGAAAGACGGUUUUGCUGUCACUUAUAGAUGGAUCCGCGCCGCAUUAGCUAGUUGGUAAGGUAACGGCUUACCAAGGCGACGAUGCGUAGCCGACCUGAGAGGGUGAUCGGCCACACUGGAACUGGGACACGGUCCAGACUCCUACGGGGGGCAGCAGUAGGGAAUCUUCCGCAAUGGGCGAAAGCCUGACGGAGCAACGCCGCGUGAGUGAUGAAGGUCUUCGGAUCGUAAAACUCUGUUAUUAGGGAAGAACAAAUGUGUAAGUAACUAUGCACGUCUUGACGGUACCUAAUCAGAAAGCCACGGCUAACUACGUG
rnacentral:rRNA from 1 species